rnacentral:miRNA from 1 species
CUCUGCCUCUCUAAGAGGCAGUGU